CCCGCUGAACUUAAGCAUAUCAAUAAGCGGAGGAAAAGAAACCAACAGGGAUUGCCUUAGUAACGGCGAGUGAAGCGGCAAGAGCUCAAAUUUGAAAUCUGGUUUCCUUUUUGGAGCCCGAGUUGUAAUUUGCAGAGGAUGCUUUGGGUGUAGCGGCGGUCUAAGUUCCCUGGAACGGGGCAUCAUAGAGGGUGAGAAUCCCGUCUGAGACCGUCUAGCAGCGCCUAUGUAUAGCACCUUCGACGAGUCGAGUUGUUUGGGAAUGCAGCUCUAAGUGGGUGGUAAAUUUCAUCUAAAGCUAAAUACUGGCCAGAGACCGAUAGCGCACAAGUAGAGUGAUCGAAAGAUGAAAAGCACUUUGAAAAGAGAGUUAAACAGCAUGUGAAAUUGUUGAGAGGGAAGCGCUUGCGACCAGACUCGCCCGUGGAGGCUCAGCCGGCAUGCUUUGGCGGUGCACUCCUUUACGGUCGAGCCAGCGUCGGUUCUGACGGUUGGUUAAAGACUUUCGGAAUGUGUCGUCUUUCGGGACGUCUUAUAGCCGAUGGUGUAAUGUGGCCAGUCGGGACCGAGGAACGCGCUUCGGCACGGACGCUGGCAUAAUGGUCGUAAGCGACCCGUCUUGAAACACGG
rnacentral:rRNA from 1 species